rnacentral:rRNA from 1 species
GAUGAACGCUGGCGGCGUGCCUAAUACAUGCAAGUCGAGCGAACGGACGAGAAGCUUGCUUCUCUGAUGUUAGCGGCGGACGGGUGAGUAACACGUGGAUAACCUACCUAUAAGACUGGGAUAACUUCGGGAAACCGGAGCUAAUACCGGAUGAUAUUUUGAACCGCAUGGUUCAAAAGUGAAAGACGGUCUUGCUGUCACUUAUAGAUGGAUCCGCGCUGCAUUAGCUAGUUGGUAAGGUAACGGCUUACCAAGGCAACGAUGCAUAGCCGACCUGAGAGGGUGAUCGGCCACACUGGAACUGAGACACGGUCCAGACUCCUACGGGAGGCAGCAGUAGGGAAUCUUCCGCAAAGGGCGAAAGCCUGACGAAGCAACGCCGCGUGAGUGAUGAAGGUCUUCGGAUCGUAAAACUCUGUUAUUAGGGAAGAACAUAUGUGUAAGUAACUGUGCACAUCUUGACGGUACCUAAUCAGAAAGCCACGGCUAACUACGUG